rnacentral:rRNA from 1 species
UACGUAGGGAGCAAGCGUUGUCCGGAAUCAUUGGGCGUAAAGCGCGCGUAGGCGGCCCCGUAAGUCCGCUGUGAAAGUCAAAGGCUCAACCUUUGAAAGCCGGUGGAUACUGUGGGGGCUAGAGUCCGGAAGAGGCGAGUGGAAUUCCUGGUGUAGCGGUGGAAUGCGCAGAUAUCAGGAGGAACACCAAUAGCGAAGGCAGCUCGCUGGGACGGUAC